rnacentral:sRNA from 1 species
UAAUUUUGAACCAACAGACCUCUGCUGGCAUCUGCGAUUGCAUUUUUCCUGUUUUAACAACGGCUGUGCUAAACGAAGUAGUAAAGCCCAAAGACUUACUUUUGAACUCGCUGUAAGACUGAGAAAUUACGUAGUCCUUCCUGAAACCACUAAGAGGAAAAAUGUCUGUGACACUGCAUACAGAUGUAGGUGAUAUUAAAAUUGAAGUCUUCUGUGAGAGGACACCCAAAACAUGUGAGACGGAGUCUCGCUGUGUCCCCCAGGCUGGAGUACAAUGGCGUGAUCUCGGCUCACUGCAACCUCUGCCUCCUGGGUUCAAGCAAUUCUUCUGCCUCAGCCUCCCCAAUAAGUGGGAUUACAGGCAUGCGCCACCAUGCCUGGCUAAUUUUUGUAUUUUCAGUAGACACAGAGUUUCACCAUGUUGGCCAGGCUGGUCUCGAACUUCUAACCUCAGGUGAUCCACGCACCUCAGCCUCCCAAAGUGCUGGGAUUACAAACAUAAGCCACUGCACCUGGCCUUUUUUUUUUCAAGACGGAGUCUUGCCCUGUCACCCAGGCUGGAGUGCAGUGGCAUGAUCUUGGCUCACUGCAACCUUCGCCUCCGGGGUUCAAACGAUUCUCCUGCCUCAGCCUCCCAAGUACCUGGGAUUACAGGCACCCACCACCAUGCCCAGCUAAUUUUUGUAUUUUUUU